UUGUAUAUUUCUGUUUAAUAAUUAAAAAAAAUAUAUAGACAUAUACAUGUGUAUACGCUACUGUCAAUACGGGGUAUAAACUACUCGCAACAGUAUACAGCGCUAAUUGAGGAGGUAGUUUUUUCGUGGAGCCCGUGUUUAGGGAAUCGUCUCCCUGAAAUACCUUCCUUUUAUGUUGCUCGCAGCGGUUUGCUCUCCUCUUUUCCGAAUUGUCCCCCUAGAUAUUAUUGUCUCUCUGAGUUCGCAUCUUGUUGUUCUAGAGAUGACUAUUCGAGAAGAAAAAUCAGGUGAUGAAGUUGUUCCGCACGUUGAGAGUUUUGAAUCUGAGGAUUCGUCUCUUGUUGCUGAUGUAAUUGUCCAAAAUCCAGACAUAAGCCGGAACAAGGGUUGUGGUAGUCGAAUCAAAAGCAGUUGAGAACUAUCUCAAGAAGAUGGGAAAAAAAAAGAAAGUGCAGCAACUGUGGCCAUCUUGUACGCCACAAUGCUAGGACAUGCCCUGAACCCAAAAAAACGGAUGCAUUGUAAACUUCAUUUUGAAGUAAAUUACUUAUAUUGGAGUUA